rnacentral:rRNA from 1 species
UACGUAGGGUGCGAGCGUUGUCCGGAAUUAUUGGGCGUAAAGAGCGCGCAGGCGGUCGUUCAAGUCGAGUGUGAAAGCCCCCGGCUCAACUGGGGAGGGUCAUUCGAUACUGAUCGACUCGAAGGCAGGAGAGGGAAGUGGAAUUCCCGGUGUAGUGGUGAAAUGCGUAGAUAUCGGGAGGAACACCAGUGGCGAAGGCGACUUCCUGGCCUGUUCUUGACGCUGAGGCGCGAAAGCUAGGGGAGCAAACGGG